CUUGGUCAUUUAGAGGAAGUAAAAGUCGUAACAAGGUCUCCGUUGGUGAACCAGCGGAGGGAUCAUUACCGAGUUUACAACUCCCAAACCCCUGUGAACAUACCAAUUGUUGCCUCGGCGGAUCAGCCCGCUCCCGGUAAAACGGGACGGCCCGCCAGAGGACCCCUAAACUCUGUUUCUAUAUGUAACUUCUGAGUAAAACCAUAAAUAAAUCAAAACUUUCAACAACGGAUCUCUUGGUUCUGGCAUCGAUGAAGAACGCAGC
rnacentral:rRNA from 1 species